UACGUAGGGUGCAAGCGUUAAUCGGAAUUAUUGGGCGUAAAGCGUGCGCAGGUGGUUUCUUAAGUCUGAUGUGAAAGCCCACGGCUCAACCGUGGAGGGUCAUUGGAAACUGGGGAACUUGAGUGCAGAAGAGGAAAGUGGAAUUCCAAGUGUAGCGGUGAAAUGCGUAGAGAUUUGGAGGAACACCAGUGGCGAAGGCGACUUUCUGGUCUGUAACUGACACUGAGGCGCGAAAGCGUGGGGAGCGAACAGG
rnacentral:rRNA from 1 species